rnacentral:rRNA from 1 species
GGCGAACGGGUGAGUAACACGUGAGUAACCUGCCCUUGACUUUGGGAUAACUUCAGGAAACUGGGGCUAAUACCGGAUAGGAGCUCCUGCUGCAUGGUGGGGGUUGGAAAGUUUCGGCGGUUGGGGAUGGACUCGCGGCUUAUCAGCUUGUUGGUGGGGUAGUGGCUUACCAAGGCUUUGACGGGUAGCCGGCCUGAGAGGGUGACCGGCCACAUUGGGACUGAGAUACGGCCCAG